rnacentral:rRNA from 1 species
AAGUGGAGCAAUCCAUGAGUAAAGUGGCGUACGGGUGAGUAACACGUGACUAACCUACCCUCGAGUGGGGAAUAACCUCGGGAAACCGGGGCUAAUACCGCAUAACAUCUACGGAUCAAAUGCGUAAGCAGCUUGAGGAGGGGGUCGCGGCCGAUUAGCUAGUUGGCGGGGUAAUGGCCCACCAAGGCAAUGAUCGGUAGCCGGCCUGAGAGGGCGCACGGCCACACUGGAACUGAAACACGGUCCAGACUCCUACGGAAGGCAGCAGUGGGGAAUUUUGCGCAAUGGGGGAAACCCUGACGCAGCAACGCCGCGUGGAGGAUGAAGCCCCUUGGG